AUGUUCUUCUUGUGUGUUAUUCACUUUUCGAACCGACACAGAAGGAUGAUGACAAUUCACUAUCAAAGCCCUUCAUGGUCCCGCUCAUACCAAAGCUGGAUAGUGAAGGAAGUUGUGUUGAAAUCGAAGUCGCUUGUAACUAAGGACAAGAUUUUAGUUUCUAUUACUGUUGGAAUCAAGUUGAAAGAAUUCAGCAAUGUAUCAAUGAAGAUGUUGAAAAUGUUGAAAAGGACGAUAUAA